rnacentral:lncRNA from 1 species
GGGGAUAUAUUUGUCCUUUUUCCCUUAAAUAUUUAUGAAUGUCAGGUCUUAUCGAAGUAGGAGGCAAGGGUGAAACAAAGGUUUCUAUAGCAAGUUGAUUCCCUGAAAGCUGAAAGAGAACAACUAUAUGUUCAGGGACAAGUGCAACAAGAUAAUUUUGGAGAAAAGAUUGAGAGAAACAUGCAAAAGAAUAAACAAGAAACCCA